rnacentral:rRNA from 1 species
UACGUAGGCAGCAAGCGUUGUUCGGAGUUACUGGGCGUAAAGGGUGUGUAGGCGGUUAUUUAAGUUUGGUGUGAAAUCUCCCGGCUCAACUGGGAGGGUGCGCCGAAUACUGAAUGACUUGGAGUGCGGGAGAGGAAAGUGGAAUUCCUGGUGUAGCGGUGAAAUGCGUAGAUAUCAGGAGGAACACCGGUGGUGUAGACGGCUUUCUGGACCGUAACUGACGCUGAGACACGAAAGCGUGGGUAGCAAACAGG